CAACGCCGCGUGGGUGAAGAAGGUCUUCGGAUCGUAAAGCCCUGUUGCCCGGGACGAACGCCCCCGGCGCGAACAGCGCCGGGGGGUGACGGUACCGGGCGAGGAAGCCACGGCCAACUACGUGCCAGCAGCCGCGGUAAUACGUAGGUGGCGAGCGUUGUCCGGAAUCAUUGGGCGUAAAGGGAGCGCAGGCGGGCAUGCAAGUCCAUCUUAAAAGCGCGGGGCCCAACCCCGUGAGGGGAUGGAAACUGCGUGCCUUGAGUGCAGGAGAGGAAAGCGGAAUUCCCAGUGUAGCGGUGAAAUGCGUAGAUAUUGGGAGGAACACCAGUGGCGAAGGCGGCUUUCUGGACUGCAACUGACGCUGAGGCUCGAAAGCCAGGGGAGCGAACGGGAUUAGAUACCCCGGUAGUCCUGGCCGUAAACGAUGAAUGCUAGGUGUGGGGGGUAUCGACCCCUCCCGUGCCGGAGUCAACGCAAUAAGCAUUCCGCCUGGGGAGUACGGCCGCAAGGCUGAAACUCAAAGGAAUUGACGGGGGCCCGCACAAGCGGUGGAGUUGUGGUUCAAUUCGAC
rnacentral:rRNA from 1 species